AGGAUGAAGCAACCAGGGCCAGAGGCAGGAGCUGGAGUACGGACUGGCACAGUCAGGACCCUGAAGUUUGAGGAUGUCAGGUGACAUUAUCUUGUCUAAGCAAAAUGUCAAAUGCUCUCGCUGCCCAGUCUGUUGGAUCCCUUGGGACAACUGCUGGUGCUCUGGACCCUCACGUCUGAACGAAGGACCCUGAUGGGCAGAGAGGAGAAAACGUCUGAAGGAAUGCCUAACUUAUGGGAGAUCUGUCCAGCCUGUCGGUGUAUGCGGUGAACCUGCUUGCUCUGGGUGGAAUGUGACCAUCAGCACGCGACUCAGAGCUGCCGCCAUCCUCCCUGGAGGGAUGGAGAGCCUACAAGGCUCAUGGGGCUUCUGGGGGUGCAGGAGCCUUCAUGGCUAUCCUCUCUGAGGUCGCUCCCUCCUGAAAGGUUACAUAAGGAGUACGCAAUGGACUACGGUUGGGAAAGCGCUUGCAAGUUGCCCAGGGUGCUCUUGAGUUUCACAUUUUCCAGGCAUUGUGAUUCCCAUGUGGUGGGAAGGACCCCUUGAGGAGUAAAUAACUCCGAUGGACUUAUUGACAGGAUUGGAACAAUAAAGUCAGACAGAAUCUAUUCCGCAACAACUGGGACAAGAGGAUGUAUCUUUACAUCGCCCCAGAAAGUCACACAACAGUGGCAAUUCUUCCAUUAUUCAUACAGUAACUUCCAGAAUAAAUAAUGCAUCCUAGAUUAAUAAAGACCUUCUCAUAAACACU